rnacentral:rRNA from 1 species
UAACCCUUUGUUGUCCGACUCUGUUGCCUCCGGGGCGACCCUGCCUUCGGGCGGGGGCUCCGGGUGGACACUUCAAACUCUUGCGUAACUUUGCAGUCUGAGUAAACUUAAUUAAUAAAUUAAAACUUUUAACAACGGAUCUCUUGGUUCUGGCAUCGAUGAAGAACGCAGCGAAAUGCGAUAAGUAAUGUGAAUUGCAGAAUUCAGUGAAUCAUCGAAUCUUUGAACGCACAUUGCGCCCCCUGGUAUUCCGGGGGGCAUGCCUGUUCGAGCGUCAUUUCACCACUCAAGCCUCGCUUGGUAUUGGGCAACGCGGUCCGCCGCGUGCCUCAAAUCGACCGGCUGGGUCUUCUGUCCCCUAAGCGUUGUGGAAACUAUUCGCUAAAGGGUGCUCGGGAGGCUACGCCGUAAAACAAACCCAUUUCUAAGGUUGACCUCGGAUCAGGUAGGGAUACCCGCUGAACUUAAGCAUA